AUACACAAAGAAAAAAAAUGGCUGAAGAUAUGAAGAAUGAAAUUCAAGAUCUGUUGACUAAGCCUAUUACUCCAAGUGAAGAACCUGCUAAAGAAUCAUCAGAAAAAGAACAAGGACAAGGGCUAGUAGUUACAAAUGAUGAACAAGAUGAAGCAAAAGAAGUAGAAGAUGAGAAGUUGGUGCACGUAGUUGAAAGAGCAAAACAGCCAACACCUCCUGGCAAACGACCUGGCCCUACUAUUGGUUGAAAUAAUAUAAUUAUAAAUACAACUUUUGAAAAUUCUAACCGUCUCUGUCCUUACAGUUAAGUGGUUGAAUUUUCUUACUUAUACGAUAAGAUGCUUACUUAGUAUUGAAAUCGACUUGGCAGAAAGUACUAUUGUUGUUCAUGUCUUGGUUCCUUUUUAAUUUUCUUUGUGUGUUAUUUUAUUUUCACUUUUAGUUUACUUUAUCAAUAUGAUGUGGAAAAAUGUGUAAUAAUACAACUUGUGUGUUGGCUUAGAUCGAAAGGAAGGGCCCGACUUUGCUUUUCGGUCAGUUUUAAA